GGGCUGAUCGGGGCGCUCGGCGGGCCCGCCCGUCGCCGAGGACGUCGGCGACGGCGCCGCGGACGGUGUCGCCACGUCGGUCCCCGCGCUGUCGGCCGGC
rnacentral:tRNA from 1 species